rnacentral:tRNA from 1 species
GCCUGGGUGGCGGAAUGGCAGACGCAACGGACUUAAAAUCCGUUGGCCGCAAGGCCGUAUGGGUUCGACUCCCAUCCCAGGCA